CAUAGCGACUAUCGUGGCAUAUCAAUAAGCGGAGGAAAAGAAACUAACAAGGAUUCCCUUAGUAACGGCGAGUGAAGCGGGAAGAGCUCAAAUUUGAAAUCUUCAAGGUUUUACCUUGACGAAUUGUAGUUUAAAGAAGUGUUUUCUGUUGGAGUUUUGGUAAAAGUUCUUUGGGAUAGGACAUCAUAGAGGGUGAGAAUCCCGUAUUUGACCAUUAUUUUCAGCUGUGUGAUACACUUUCAAGGAGUCGGAUUGUUUGGGAAUGCAGUCCAAAAUGGGUGGUAAAUUUCACCUAAAGCUAAAUAUUGGCGAGAGACCGAUAGCGAACAAGUACCGUGAGGGAAAAGAUGAAAAGAACUUUGAAAAGAGAGUUAAACAGUACGUGAAAUUGUCAAAAGGGAAGCGUUUGACACCAGUGUUGUUUUCUCGAAAAUCAAUUAAAAAGGGCCGGAUUUUGUGUUGUAUUGACCUUAAAAGCUUUCUUCACUCUUUUCAUGUCUUUUCUUAAUGCACUUUUCGGUUAACAAGUCAACAUCAAUUUCUUUUGUUGUAAAAGGUUAAGAGGAAGGUGGCUUUACUUUCGGGUAAAGUGUUUAUAGCCUUUUAACUCUGCAAUCGGAGAGAUUGAGGUCUGCAGCGUAGAUCCUUCGGGGUUAGAUACGUUUGUGCUAAGUUAUAGCUUUUCAUAGACAACUUGUUGACUAUGUUAAGUCUUGUAAUUUACUCGCAGAUGCUAUCUUACCUACGCUUAGGAUGUUGAUAGUCACAGCGUGUAC
rnacentral:rRNA from 1 species